AGGACGAACGCUGGCGGCGUGCUUAACACAUGCAAGUCGAGCGGAGAAUAUAGCAAUAUAUUCUUAGCGGCGGACGGGUGAGUAACGCGUGGGUAACCUGCCUUUUACUGGGGGAUAACACUGGGAAACUAGUGCUAAUACCGCAUAAAAUAGUGAAGUGGCAUCACUUUACUAUCAAAGGAGCAAUCCGGUAAAAGAUGGACCCGCGUCCGAUUAGCUAGUUGGAGGGGUAACGGCCCACCAAGGCGACGAUCGGUAGCCGAACUGAGAGGUUGAUCGGCCACAUUGGGACUGAGACACGGCCCAGACUCCUACGGGAGGCAGCAGUGGGGAAUAUUGCGCCAAUGGGGGAAACCCUGACGCAGCAACGCCGCGUGAAGGAUGAAGGUUUUCGGAUUGUAAACUUCUUUGAUUGGGGACGAUAAUGACGGUACCCAAAAACAAGCCACGGCUAACUACGUGCCAGCCGCGGC
rnacentral:rRNA from 1 species